GCAUCGAUGAAGAACGCAGCCAAAUGCGAUACCCGGUGUGAAUGCAGAAUCCUGAGCGUCACACCAAAAGACACUCCCUUCCCAUCAUUGUGCAUGAAUGUGGUAUUUGGCUCCCCAUGCCUUGUGGUACGGUGGGCUGAAGUUGGGGCUGCUGGCAUAUCGUGUCGAGCACCUACAUGUGGUGGGCGACAUAAGUUGUUCUCGGUGCAGUGUCUCGGCACGCAGCCAGCUUCUUGGCCUAGAGGACCCAUUUAAGACUGUAGCGCCUCGGUGCUCGGACUGCGACCCCAGGUCAGACGGGAUCACCCGCUGAGUUUAAGCAUAUCAAUAAGCGGAGGA
rnacentral:rRNA from 1 species